rnacentral:rRNA from 1 species
UACGUAGGCAGCAAGCGUUGUUCGGAGUUACUGGGCGUAAAGGGUGUGUAGGCGGUUCUUUAAGUUUGGUGUGAAAUCUCCCGGCUCAACCGGGAGGGUGCGCCGAAUACUGAGGGACUAGAGUGCGGGAGAGGAAAGUGGAAUUCCUGGUGUAGCGGUGAAAUGCGUAGAUAUCGGGAGGAAUACCCGUGGCGAAGGCGGUCCACUGGGCAUCAACUGACGCUGAGGCGCGAAAGCGUGGGUAGCAAACAGG